GAUGAACGCUGGCGGCGUGCUUAACACAUGCAAGUCGAACGGUGAACACGGAGCUUGCUCUGUGGGAUCAGUGGCGAACGGGUGAGUAACACGUGAGCAACCUGCCCCUGACUCUGGGAUAAGCGCUGGAAACGGCGUCUAAUACUGGAUAUGUGACGUGACCGCAUGGUCUGCGUUUGGAAAGAUUUUUCGGUUGGGGAUGGGCUCGCGGCCUAUCAGCUUGUUGGUGAGGUAAUGGCUCACCAAGGCGUCGACGGGUAGCCGGCCUGAGAGGGUGACCGGCCACACUGGGACUGAGACACGGCCCAGACUCCUACGGGAGGCAGCAGUGGGGAAUAUUGCACAAUGGGCGCAAGCCUGAUGCAGCAACGCCGCGUGAGGGAUGACGGCCUUCGGGUUGUAAACCUCUUUUAGCAGGGAAGAAGCGAGAGUGACGGUACCUGCAGAAAAAGCGCCGGCUAACUACGUG
rnacentral:rRNA from 1 species